rnacentral:RNase_P_RNA from 1 species
GAGGUGGAUGAUCGCUGCCGGUUUACCGGGAGAGGAAAGUCCGGGCUUCACAGGGCAGGAUGCCGGAUAACGUCCGGUGGAGGUAACUCCCAGGCCAGUGCAACAGAAAGUAUACCGCCUGCGCAAGCAGGUAAGGGUGAAAUGGCGGUGUAAGAGACCACCGUGUAUCUGGUAACAGAUGCAGCAAUGUAAACCCCAUCCGAAGCAAGACCAAGCAGAGACCAUGAGGUUGCCCGCCUCGUCUCAGGUAGGUUGCUGGAGGCGGCUGGUAACAGUCGUCCUAGAUAGAUGAUCAUCUUAAAUGACAUAACCCGGCUUACAGCUUCU